GAUAAUGGAUCUGUCUGUAUUAUAAAUACAAUGUGCACAUGUGUCUUCUUCUUAAGAGAAUUCUAGAGUUUUACUUCUGUUCACACAUUCAACAUGUUGGUGCAAAAGCUAAGCUGGAUCAUUUUGCUCCUCUUUCUGUGUCAGCAUGGAGUAGAAGCAAAAAGAGCAGUGACCUGUGAAGCAGGAAUUAUGCGCCUCCGCUGUGUUUCAGGAUUAAUAAAGGUCAUUAAAGCCAACUAUGGGAGGACUGAUCGCACAACAUGCACUCGGGGGAUAUUAUAGUUGUUAUU